GUAUCGGCUCGAGUAAGGACACCCGUGGCACGGCUUUCGUCGUCUACGAGGACAUCUACGACGCCAAAACGGCGGUGGAUCACUUAUCCGGCUUCAACGUUGCCAAUAGGUAUCUGAUUGUCUUGUAUUACCAGCAGACUAAGAUGAGCAAGAAGUUUGAUCAGAAGAAGAAGGACGAUGAGCUCGCUAAGAUGCAGGAAAAGUACGGCGUUUCGACUAAAGACAAGUAAUUCUUAAUAGUUUAAGCUCUUUUGUUGAAUUUCUAGGGUUACGGAUUUUCAAUUUAUAGUGUUUUUUUUUUUAAUUUAUAAAUC
rnacentral:lncRNA from 1 species